GCUGAAGUAAAAGUGAAACCAAUGUGAACGGUUCAUAGAGGCCAAACCGUCUGCUUCUUAGUUAGGUUUCUCCAGUAUUUACCACAUUUAUGGAAGAAUCGACCUCUACACUGUCAUUUUCACGUGGAUUAUUCUGAUGGAAACAUCAUCUGAGAGGAAGUAAUCUGGGCGUCCCCCACCUCCACAUCGACAACAGGAAGAGGAGGCAGACAUCGUGAUGGACGAAAGUUGUCUGACAGCAAAAAAGGGGGACGUACAGUAAAACAUUUGGUCUGUGGUUUGAAACCAUAAACGUAUCAAAGGUGGUUGUUUAUCUGCAGCUGUCAUAUCAUAUGUCUAACAUUCACUGACUAGAACCCAGUUUUCUUUCAUAACAAUAAAACAUUCCUUUGAGUUCAACAACAUGUAAAUAUAUACUACAAAAGCUCUGUAAUGAUAACCUAUACAUAAUAAAUGAUGAUGAAUAAGAAA